UGUAAAAAUUCAUAUGUUCCUUAUUUAUCGUUUGGGCUGUGCGAUUGCUUUACUCAGAGGUGAAGACCUUGCUUACCCGAAAUACGAUUCCGAUGAUUCGGUUAAGGAUCCGAGUUAUAGCACUGUUGAAGAGUAAGGCCAAGGCACGGAACAACGAUGACAAAAGGGAGGCAUUAGAUAAUCUGGAUAUAAUACUUUUUCCUUUAUUUGAAGGCGUGAGAAAAGAGUGAAUGAGGUCGAGCAGUAUUACUUGAGGAAAGGCAGUCUGCAACCAACCACUUCGAAGGAGAAAGACAAAGAAACAUUUUAAUACAAUUAAGAAGCAGCAGCAAGAUGCAUCACGUAGGGAAGCCACUGCGGCAAAGAGGAUUCGAGAUCUGUUGAAUAAGUUUUCCGCAAUCUUCAAACAGGAAAUUGAAGCAAAUGAGAAGCAUUGAUAUCAACUCCAACUUGAGGAGGCUAUUAGUAACAUAGGUGCAUUUUCUCCCCCAGUAUUUGGUUGUUGUUACUUUGCCUUUCUUUUCCUUUUUGUACUCAUCAAGUGUUCUAUAGCUGGAACAGAACUUUCUGUUUUCGUCAAACUAUCAAUCUAUUACAUAUAAAAUUCAUGAAAAAGGAACCAAACCCGCAGCAACGCGCGGAUGCUUUUUCUAGUCUAUAUACUAAAUGUCAGUGCACUGUUCCUGACUGUUCAUAAGGGACGGAAAGCACGGUUCUGUCCUCACUUUAUCUUUUUUUUACGCCUCUGCCAUUUACUCUCUCUUCCUCCCCUCUGCCUCU